CAGGCCGUCUACAAGCCCAAGCCCCAGCAAGUGGGGAUUCAAAUCCAACCUGGCAUGUCAGAGUUAUUUUCUCCCACUGGAGGGGUUUCUGGUCGUAAUAUGCCGCCUAUCAACUUAAACGUACAAAUGACUGUUCCUCCAAGAACAAGACACAUUCCAAUGUCAUCCCAACAACGUCCCAGGUGGCAGCACUCAACGGUUCCGGUGUGAAACGGCAACCAUUGACCUAAAGGAUCCCCGCUGUUCCUGACCACGUUCUGAAAGCAGUCCGUCCUGACAUCAACCAUUUUGUGACGUUCAAUAAAAUACUUGGAACUGCA